AUAGUCGCGGCCAUGAAUCAGACCAGAGGGAGUGAUCCAUCGAAGAUAGCGAUGAUGCGGACAGAAGGGAGGGAGGGGAAGGGAAUGUUGUGAGAACGGCACUACCCGAAUGACAGCACCAGCAGCACUCCAAUCCCUGCCCCGCCUUCCACGGAGCCGUGGGAAUGCCAUGCUUCAGAAGUGUUACACUAUGUAGCCGCCGUUUUCCAUUUCUGGCUGGAGCCUCGCCUGGCAGCGUUCCCCUUUCGGUCAUCGUGACUCCUCAGCUGUGCACUCCCCUGCCGUUUUGAUUUCCGCGUCCCUGUAGCGACGUCAGCUGGGCCCUCCACAUGCAUCCACCUGCCCCCAUAUUAUAUAUCUGCCACCCCCUCCUCCAGCAAAUCCAUUCUGUUUACUCCCACUUCCCUCGAUUUCUCUCCCCAAUCCCAGUGAGCGGUUUGUGUCGUUCGUGCUUCAGACAGAAAGAGGAUUUGCCGCUUCGAUCUGCGAUUUCGUACCGGUCGAUGUGUGGAAUGAUCAUGUCUGUAGAGGUGUCGUGGUUAGGUGCUCGCAAGAGCAAUUUUGUUUUGGUUCCCAGAUAGAUACUUUCAGCGGCCGUUGCUGGCUCGGAUUGCCGAGGUUCGAUGGCAAUAGUGCCGGCUGACGAUAGCCGGCCUGCCCGCAACUCGUUGACUUUGCUUGGAGUUUGAAGCCGAAGCCUGGCGUCCUAGUUGCGUUUCUAAUCUUCUGUUUAUUUUUCAUCCCCUAAGAAAUUCUGUGUUAUGUUGCACAUCAGUUGCAUCCAUUUGUCUCAGCUCUGAUUAUGUUGUAUGUUUGCAAUUGGACGUAAGCAACGUAACCUUGUUAUCGAGUAAUUUCUUACCGGUGAUCAUCGCAUGGAGUAUUCGGAAACUCUCUCUCGUCUCGACAAAGUGCAUUCAGCCUGUACUUCCAGCUGAUCGCUCAACUUGGAAUUGGUGUGAGCAAAUUUCAAGCGGAUUUAACACUUCCCGACGGAUUUGUAUCAGUUUCGAUGCAGUGUCGUACUCCAUACUGGCCUUCGAAUUUAUCAUUUUGGCAAUCCGACCAGCUCUCGAUGACUCCUUUAGGGCGUCCACUUUGUGACAUGUCAAUCGGUGGUAGAGGCUUCUAAAUUCGUACUGCUGUUGAGCUGCUAGGAUUUGUGAAUUAGAAACAUUGGAAUGCAUCCCCCUAGUAUUUGUGUGGUUGCCAGAUGGACGUACUCUCUGUUGUACCUAUGAGCGUUGGCUUUAAUCAGCUGCAGGUUGGUUGGACGAGUCUGCUCUUGUGAGACUAACUAAGCUAUCAUUACUGAAGUUGUCAGGUCUGCUCGAGGAAUUUGACCAAGUUCUAUGUUCGAAAAUUUUGGUUUCCGUGUAGAGGUCGUUCGAAUUCUUAUCUCGUCUGAAUGAUAUUUCUGGUGCAGUUGAGACUUGAUGUGCGGGUGGUGUGGUGAGUAUUCCGUGUUUAUUGGGCUUGCAUUCUGAAUGGAUCACAAGUUGCUUGAAUACUACUUCGAAGGUGUAAGCCUGUAGUUGAUUUGCUGGUAGAUACAUCGAAUCUCAAGGGUCUCUUCGACGAAUACUAGGUACUAUUUUUUGAGAUUGAUUACAUCAAGGUCAGCGAUGCUUCUAUUUGCUGCUACCCCGUGGUCAACGAAGAUAAUAUGUAUCAAUCAGGAUAUAGAGAUGGAGACAGAAGUGUUACAAAGAGUUCUUGAGUCUCCAUGCUUCUCUGACGUUGCAUGGAGUCUAUGUCUGGACCUUCUCCAUUUCCUCUUUCAAGAGAAUGUGAGCAUUGAAGGAUUCGGACAUAGCCUUCAUGCAUGCUAGAGUAUCAUGGAGGCCCGUGAACUACUUGUAACUAUCACAUUUGUUUUCUUGCAACACAAUCCGUUCCUCCUGCUUAUCGCCGGAACUCCCAUUGGCACGACUAGAUGUUAUCCAGUGGGAUACCACUGUUACUUGAUCAGGUGAGUGACAUUACUGUGCAGUUCGUUUUCUUUUGAUUGCUUCAAAACUCUGUUUGGAGUCCUCGUAAACCCGUGCUGUGACUUCAAUCUGUUUGAACAAAGUGCAUGUGCUUCGGAAAUGUUCGACCAUCGCAGUGGUCAAUAAAUCUGAGGAGGCAAUCCACUCCCCCCACUACAGUUAUGUAGUCUAGCAUGAUGCUCUGGUUCCAUGUUUUAUAGAGUACUCGGGAUCACUUUCAUUCUGGAUGAGUGCUUAUUCGGACUAAUACACUAAUGUGGUACAGCAAUGGUCUCCACCUCGUUGCGAGAUCGGAUGAUUGUAGCAGAUCAGCAAGUGAAAUCAAGACCUUGAAGGUAUCAUCUGUAUUACUUCUGCACUUAGCCAACACAUAUCGAAGUCUCUCAUUUUAUGGAAUGUUACAGCCCACCCUUUUACCCGGUUGUCUGUGAAGUGGUCAUUUAGAUAUUGAUGAAACAUAGAGUUUAAGUAUCCUUGACGUGUUGAAAUUUUGUUAACAAGCACUGCCACAACCAGUUCUAUUUUGUUUCGUGUCUUCAGGAAUUGAAGAUAUUAUCACCACAAGUCCAUGAAGUUUAAAUUGAAUCAUCAAUUGCGUAAUUUUCUGCCAUGAUGAAGCCGUCCAUUGAUUCUCAAGUCACACCUUGCGUUUGACCAGUAAUGGAAUUGAACUACCUUGGUGCCGGAGUACUUGAAGCGUAAUCUUUACAUUGCCUCCUACUGUUUAGUUAAGAAAAUUAGAAUGCAUGAAGUUUUUGCUAGCUGUAUGGUGAAGUUCUUUCGAUAUAGGUUUCUACAGCGAGUUGCAGAUUUUCCAUGAUUCUGAGAAAGCUGGGAAAAGAUGUACUGACCAUUGAGUCUUAACAUGAGAGCUGAAUUCACGAUCUCUGCUACAAGCUAUGUGUACUCAGAAAUUUUCAUUCCA